GGGGCUGACUGGUUUCGACGUCAGUAACGCUGUUCGAGUUUGCGACCCGAGUUUCUCAGACUCGUUAAACGGGGAAACCACAGAAUUGCCGAUGAGCAGUUCGCUCUCGCCGCCUGAUUUCGAUCAGACGAGUGAAGAGUCAUCGUGAGCAGAAAUGCCGCACGGGGCCACUCCACCACAGCCCGGCAACAGAAGUGGGGGAUGACGAUGGGAAAGACCAUUGCCAGCGGGAAAGACUGCUGACUUUCAGGAAAGACUGAGCGUGGUCCGCCUUGAGCGGGCAGCCGACCCGUCGGUGUCUCAGCGUCAGAGGUAAUGCCGGGAAUGGUCGUAGCGGGUUCGUGCAUCGGCUGAUGGACGGGGGUUCGAUUCCCCCCAGCUCCACUG
rnacentral:tmRNA from 1 species